GUGCUCACUUCAGCAGCACAUAUACUAAAAUUGGAAUGUUACAGAGAAGAUUAGUAUGACCCCUGUGCAAGGAUUACACACACAUUUGUGAAGCAUUCCAUAUUUUU